AUUCCAGCUCCAAUAGCGUAUACUAAAGUUGUUGCAGUUAAAAAGCUCGUAGUUGAAUUUCUGGUCGCGGCGACCGGUCCGCCCCUCACGGGGUGUGCACCUGGUGUCUGCGUCCAUCCUCGGGGAGAGCGCGUCUGGCAUUCAGUUGUCGGGCGCGGGAUCCUCGUCAUUUACUGUGAGCAAAAUAGAGUGUUCAAAGCAGGCUUAGGCCGUUGAAUACAUUAGCAUGGAAUAAUAAGAUAGGACCUUGGUCUAUUUUGUUGGUUUGCAUUCCAAGGUAAUGAUUAAUAGGGAUAGUUGGGGGUAUUCGUAUUCAAUUGUCAGAGGUGAAAUUCUUGGAUUUAUGGAAGACGAACUACUGCGAAAGCAUUUACCAAGGAUGUUUUCAUCA
rnacentral:rRNA from 1 species